ACGAAAUGAAAGGAAAAAAAGUAAAAGAAAAAAAAAUCGUUCGUGAUGCUCAUGCUGACAUGAAGCAGAUUCGCCCGACAUUUUCCCUUUCAUAUCAAUUUCUCCAUUCCACAUUCAUUC
rnacentral:ribozyme from 16 species